rnacentral:lncRNA from 1 species
ACAAUCAUAGGCACCCCACUUGACAUGCUCUCUUGCAUGGAGUUAUAACCACCAUGGCUUAUGAACACCCCAACAGCACCAUGAGCUAGCACAUCUAUUUGGGGAGCCCAUGGCACCAAUAUGCCAUUGGCCCUGUCUAAGAACCCAUUAGGCAAAUGUACCUUCGAUUUGUCUCUUAAAGACCAUAUGAAAGGAACCCUGCUGGCUUCUAAUGCUUCUGCUAGUGCUACAAGUUCAUUUGGCGGUGGCGUUGCGAUCGAGCCAAAGCUAAUAUAUGCCACUGUUGCAGGCUUUUGCUUGUCAAGCCAUGUCAGGCAACCAUAAGAAUCUGGAACUGCUGGUGCUGGUGGUGUUGAAAGGGUCAAAGGUCCAACAUUUAAGAAUUUCUUGAGCUUGGAUUUCAUAUCACUUGUAACCACAGGGUCUAGUUCUUCAAAGGAGUUUAUGAAGACUGCAACUGCCUCAGGUAGCACUUGCCCCAUUCGAUGUAUCAUGCGAGAGAAGAUUGAUUCCAGAUUUCCAAAGAGGAUUCCUUCAGGCAAGUCACGGAUGCGUAUAUUAGACAUUCCAGGAAUGAAGUCGAGGGUCUCAUCUUCUCGCCCAACCAUGCCUGUAUUUACAUAUAUAGAUACAAACCAACGCCAUGAGAUGAGUGAUUAGAAGUCCAUAUACAGAGUUAUAAGGUAGACGGCCAUUGGGCCACUCAGCUUUUGAGUUCUUGGAAUGACAAAUUUAGUGGCUGAUGAUAUAACUUCAUUCAAUUAAAAGCUGAGCAGGAAGAUUAGAUUUCUUCAUCAAACUCUUUCUUUAGAGUUUUGACAGUUUCUUUUUAGUAUGUGUCAAAAAGAAAAGAAAAUUAGAUACCUCCAACUCCAAAGUUUUGCCUUAUGGUAUCAGUAUAAACAUGGGAAGAAAGGGGGCAAGCUCCUGAAACAAAAAAGGGUACCCAAGGCACACCGUUCUCCUCUGCCAGAUCCUUGCCAAACCAAAGAAAAGCGUCAGUCACCAAACAGCUCAGUUUCCUCUCUGUCUCUGCUACUGCCACUUCCAAUAUUCCUUUCCUGAAAUUCUCCUGCGCCACUGUCAUGAACAGCUCAACAUCCUCCAGCGGCUCCCCAACAAAAACAUAGCCCUCCGGCGCUCCAUCCGAAACGUUAUAGGCUUUGAUGUUUGGGAAUGUAGUAUUGUGGUGGGACGUGGAGAAGAGGUAGGCGUUGGAUUGCGCAGUGCUGAAGAAUGAAAACAAAGUGUCAGGGGCAGCAGAGGCUAGGCGGCGGGUGAUGGUGAGGAGCGGAGCAGCGUGGGUGCCGAAGGGGAAGGCUAGGACAGCAACGUGAGGGCCAGACCCGGUGGCUUGCUGCAGCAUGGUUGGUUAAAUUAUUGUGCUGUGUUAGAGAGGAGAUUGAGAUGGUAGUAUUGCAAGGAAUUCUUUCUCUUUUUGCAAUGAAUGUGAGGUAGGUGGGCUUUCAUCCUUUUACUAUGUAUACAAGAGAGAGUGAUGAGCUAUUAAAUAAGUAUAUAAUGUAGGGAAACAUCUUUUAAUGAAGUUGCUAACAAUUUGUCUGUUACUAGUUGCAAAUAUUUUAGCAAACAAAAUUAUAUAAUAAGGAAACAAGCCUCACAAAAAGUUGUUCCCACCCUAAAACCCAAUCAGACCAUUAAAAGGAAGAAUUUUCUCCGUUAUUAAAAAACAUAUUCACUAUUUAAUCUUGAAAUAAUCAGACAUGUUUUUCUUAUGAUUUGAUUUUUAAGUAGUAUGGGAAAAAAAUUAACCAACAAAUCAAAAACUAGCAAAUCUAACCACGGAUCAAGUUUAAGUUCAAUAUGCAUAAUUGGCAACAUACUUGUAGAUCUUUUGAGUCACUAGAUUGUUUGUCUAUUUAUUCGUCGAGCGCGUAACGUUGCGAGGUGACCGCAGAAACUUAAAAGAGAUACUCAGUGUCAUCAUCUUCCAAAUAAUUACAGCCAUUAACUAUAACAAAAUUAAGCAAACUUUUAUCAAAAAACAGUAUAUAAAAUAUCAUAUUUAGACAUAAAAUGCACAUCAAGAUUUGUCAGGCUACAAAUUAAUAACAUUUUGCACUGUACUGUUAUUGUGAUAAAAUAUAUACUUAAAAUUAGAUAUUCAAAAAGCUAAAGCACGAGUAUUUUAUUGAAACGAUAACUUUAUUUAAGAUUAUCCAUUUUUGUAAUAAACCAAAAUGAAUGUAUAUGUCUUAUAAACCAUAUAUUUCAAGUCAAAUAAGAGUAAUUCAAAGUAUCAAAACUUUUAUUCUCCCUAAUAUGAUUCCACAUAUGUAAGAAAAUAACAUACUCAAAGCUGGUAAAUUUAUAAGGAAUGAGUAUAAUCAAAUUAAUAAAUUAAUUCAAAGAAAACAUUUAAACCUUAAGAAACCUUAUUAUGAGUUGAUUUUAGAAUUUUUUUAAUUUAACAAAAACAAAAAAACAAAAAUUGUGCAGAAAAUGUUACAAGAUUUAAUUAGCAAAAACCGUACAGAAAUCAUGCAAAAAAUGGUACAAGGUUUAAAAAGGUAUGGAGUAUGAUAACAAAGGUUUUUAAGUUUGAAAUUGACAUUAUCUACUUCUCAUAUAUAUAUAUAUAUACACAUAUAUAUUAUUCAUGCAUUUUUGUAAUAAACUAACAUAAAUACAAGCUACUGCUUAAAUCUUAUGUCAAAUGAUAAUAAAAAUAAAGAAAAUAAAUAAAUAUUUGCUUAAUGUUGUGCCAUCUUUGAAAAAAUUAUCAAGCUAUUGCUCUGUAUUUGAUUUGCAUUCAAAUUACAUCAAACAUUUCUUUUUCAUGAUUUGGUUUUUGAGCAGCAUGGGAAAAAAAUCAACCAACAAAUCAAAAAUCAAAUCCAACCACGGAUCAAGUUCAAGUUCAGUAUGUACAAUUUGCAACAUGCCUGUAGAUCUUUUGACUCACUGGGUUGUUUGUCCAUUCAUUCGUCGGGUGCGCGACAUUACGAAUACCCCGCAAAAACUUAAAAGAGGUACUUAGUGUUGUCAUCUUCUAGAUCAUUGCAGCCAUUUACUAUAACAAAACCAUGCAAACUUUUACCAAAAAAUAGUAUAUAAAAUACCGUAGUUAAACGUAAAACAUACAUCAAGAUUCGCUAGAUUACAAGUUAACAACAUUUUGCACUGUACGAUAAAAUAUAUACUUAAAAUUAGAGAUUCAAAAAGCUAAAGCAUGAGUAUUUUAUUAAAACGAUAACUUUAUUUGAGUUCAUCUAUUUUUGUAAUAAACCAAAACGAAUGCAUAUGUCCUAUAAACCAUGUAUUUCAAGUCAAAUAAUAGUAAUUCAAAUUAUCAAAAUUUUUAUUCUACCAAAUAUGAUUCCACAUAUAUAACAAAAUAUCAUACUCCUAGCUGGUAAAUUCAUGUAUUUCAAUUCAAAGUAUUUUAUAUAUGCACAACAUAUAUCAAUAGAUAGUUAACCGAGAACACUAUAAAAGGAUCUUGACUUGAAUCUAUCGAUAGAUACCGUGUAUCUAUUAAUAGAUAGGCACCCAAAAACACUUCAAAAGGACCCUAACUUGCAUCUAUCAAUACAUAGCCACCGGAGGAUACUUCAAAAUGAUCUUGAGUUGAAUCUAUCUAUAGAUACUUACAUUUAUCGAUAGAUGGGCACAAAUUUAAAAAUUAUUGAAGACAAUUUAUAGAUAAAUGAUGACUGUUGGAGCUUAGAAUAGUGUGUUGAACGGCUAUUUUCACAGUUAAUGCAUCCUCAACCACUUCUAAAGUUUCAACAACUAUAUAUUUAAGCUCGCACAACAUUUAUUAAAGUUGAAAGACUUUGAAACACAACUUCAAAAAAAGAAUCCAGCAAAAAUCAUUCAAUACACUUUGUAUUUUUCUUUUAGCAUUUAAGUCUUCUAUUGUAUCAUUUAUUUAGCCUUCAUUGCUUGUUCUUUUCCUCACCAAACAUUGUACUUAACUUGUUACUCAAUCUUUAAGAGAUAUUCUAGCUACACUUACAUUUCUCCCAUUGUAUUAUUUGAGUGGUUAUACCUUAACCAAAAUAAAAAGUAGAGUGGUUGUGCUUUAAUUAUAAAAGGCAUUGUAUUAAAAGAUUAUGCUUGAUCCACAAAAGAUAGUGUAUUGAAUUUUAUUUUAAUAGUAAAUUUAAACACCUUAGUGAAUCUAAGGAAAAUGACGCAGGUAAGGAGGCUGAACCUUUAUAAAAAUUAUUAUGUUGAUUUUUUUUUCCUUUCUUACUCCUUUAAUUUCAUUUGUGUUUUCAACCUCUCUCACUUUACAAGAAAUCAAUUGUCUUGCUUAUUUUCAAAUUGGGGAUUUGGCUUAAAAGAAUUUUAUUUUUUUUCAAAAUUGAAAAGGAAUCUUCAAAAAUAUAAAAGUAUUCCAAUUCACCCCUUUUGGAAUUAUUCACAUUGAGCUUAUUGCACUAACACGAACCAUGCCUCUAAAAGUUCGAUAUAACACUCCAAAAUCGUCUCCAUUAUUUCAGUUUCCUCAAAUGUAAGUAACACCUUCAUGCCUUCAAAGGCCUUUACCUUGACAUAAGUUCCCUCAUUAGCCGACUCUGCUUGAAUCACACCACAAGCCAUUCCUAGAAUGGCUAUUCUGCAAAAUCAUCUAAAACCAAGGAAUAAUUAAUAUUAACUUCCCCCAUGGUAUUAACUAUUCCUUAAUUGAGGAAUAGCCUUAAAAAAUAAUAAAAACCAAAAUGCCCCUUACAAGUUUGAAAAAUUACAACCCUACCUAUCUAAAAACAUUCUUUUUUUUCUCUCUCUCCUUUCAUUCAAACUUCUAAUAAAAUAUUAAAAUUUAAAUGAUCAAUAAUUAAUAUUUUAAGCAAAUUAUAAAUUAUUAAUUUUUAUAAAAUAUAAUAAAAAAUAAAUAAUGAUAAUAACAUUUUAAUUAUAAAUAAAAUAUUAAUAUUUUGAAAUGUUAAUGAUUAAAUUAUAAAUACAAUAUUAACAUUAAAAUUAUCAAUUAUUAAUAUUUUAAAUAAAUUAUAAAUUAUUAAUAUUUAAAAAAUAAAAUAAAAAAUUAUCACAAUAACAUUUAAAUUAUAAAUAAAAUAUUAAUAUUUUAAAAUAUUAAUAAUUAAAUUAUGAAUAAAAUAUUAACAUUUAAAUUAUCAAUUGUUAAUAAUUUAAAUAAAUUAUAAAUUAGUAAUAUUUAAAUAAUAAAAUAAAAUCAAAAUAAUUAAUCGUAUAUUAUGAUUAAGGGUAUUUUUAUCUUUUUAUUUUUUUAUUUCUUUCUUAUUCCAAAGUUAUUUUUACCAACUAAACACUACAAUAAUUCAUAAAUAUUUUUAAAAAUUAUAAUUUUAUUUUUUAUGAAUUAUUUUAAUUUAUUAUUUUGAUUUUUAUUAAUAAUAUACAUAGAAAACCAUUUUAAAUUCAUUUUAAUAGAGUAUUUAAUAAGUACAAAUAUUUAAUGGGUAAUGUUCAAGAUAUUAGGUAUGAAUUCAGAUAAUAAUUUAAUAGUUUAAUCAAGUAUUUAUAUGAUUCAUAUAACUUAUCAAAUAAUCGGAUUCGAAUUAAAAUAUUUAAAAAGUAGCAUAUAUUUUAUGCAUUUGCGGCUUAGUACUUAAGCUUAAUCACAGAUAACUUUAGGUUCUAAAAAUAAAGUUUAAGUAAAUUUAUAAAUCACGGACUCAUGUUUCUAACUCAAAAGAUUUUCAAAACUUAAGAUCGUAUGGAAUUAAGUUUAAAUUUAGAUCCGUGACACGUUGACAUUUCUAAUUGUGAAAAUUAAAUGAAAUAUAAGAGAAUAGAACAUUAAUUUAUUUUUUUUAUUUUAUGUUUCUUUCAUUUAGCAUUUUGUUAUACUUUUGGACAGAACUUUGAAUAAAGGUUCAUUAGGUAAAGUUCCUAAAGCAUUUCAUAUAAGAAAGAUUAAAUUACAUUUGAUAAUAAAAAAUAGUAAUAUUUUGAUAUAAAAUUGAAUCAAUGUUGUUGAAAUUAAGAAGUAAAAUUAUUUUUCAAAUUGGUAAAAAACUUAUUAUAAUUUGAAAUUUUUAUGAUAUUUGACAUUGUAAAUACACUGGAAUGCAAAUUCAAUCACAAUAUGAAAAGGAAUCUAAGAAUUCGCCUUAAUACAUUUUUUUUUUUUUUUUGGGUUAAUAUGAUCAUCGAAAGUAUAUGUUGGGUAGGUAAUUGGUCCUCUUACUCUAUUAUUUUAUACUUUAUAUUUCAGAUUUAAAGAACAGACCCAAACAUGCAAAUCACCUUUUUAAUAUUUAUCUGUGCUGAAAUUCAAUUAAGCAACAACCAACAUAAAUAACUGUAAGUCUAAAACACAUAUAGAUUCAAUAAUUAACAUUUAAAAGGUAACUAAUACAUUGAUUAAUGUCUUUCCAGCUUUAAAACUAAAGAAGAAAAACAAAUAUGACUAAAAGUAGUGCACUACUUUUUAUUUAAGCAGAAGUUCACUUGAUAGGAACUUCUUACUGAUAUUAUAUGGUAAUGCUAGCUAUUUACCAAUCCCUUGGAGUGGUAAACAUAGAGAUGACCUAGCUACAUACAAAAUCCAACAAUGCCUUGAAAUUUUUAGUGGAGCUACCUUCUGGUCCAACUGCUCUAUGUGCAAGUUCCUUGAGUGCCUUCAAAUUCUCCCUCAUUUUCUUCCCCUUCUCUUGUGCUAAAACUAGAUCCAAACAACUCGUGACGCACUUCUUCGUGAAAAUUCCACCCUCAACAAUCACACCAAUCUCCCAAACGUGCUCUACCAUUCGUCCGUUGAGCCCAUGGUCCCCAAAAAAUGGCCUGACAAUCAUAGGCACCCCACUUGACAUGCUCUCUUGCAUGGAGUUAUAACCACCAUGGCUUAUGAACACCCCAACAGCACCAUGAGCUAGCACAUCUAUUUGGGGAGCCCAUGGCACCAAUAUGCCAUUGGCCCUGUCUAAGAACCCAUUAGGCAAAUGUACCUUCGAUUUGUCUCUUAAAGACCAUAUGAAAGGAACCAUGCUAGCUUCUAAUGCUUCUGCUAGUGCUACAAGUUCAUUUGGCGGUGGCGUUGCGACCGAGCCAAAGCUAAUAUAUGCCACUGUUGCGGGCUUUUGCUUGUCAAGCCAUGUCAGGCAACCAUAAGAAUCUGGAACUGCUGGUGCUGGUGGUGUUGAAAGGGUCAAAGGUCCAACAUUUAAGAAUUUCUUGAGCUUGGAUUUCAUAUCACUUGUAACCACAGGGUCUAGUUCUUCAAAGGAGCUUAUGAAGACUGCAGCUGCCUCAGGUAGCACUUGCCCCAUUCGAUGCACCAUGCGAGAGAAGAUUGAUUCCAGAUUUCCAAAGAGGAUUCCUUCAGGCAAGUCACGGAUGCGUAUAUUAGACAUUCCAGGAAUGAAGUCGAGGGUCUCAUCUUCUCGCCCAACCAUGCCUGUAUUUACACAAAUAGAUACAAACCAACGCCAUGAGAUGAGUGAUUAGAAGUCCAUAUACAGAGUUACAAGGUAGACGGCCAUUGGGCCACUCAGCUUUUGAGUCCUUGGGAUGACGAAUUUAGUGGCUGAUGAUAUAACUUCAUUCAAUUAAAAGCUGAAUAGGAAGAUUAGAUUUCUUCAUCAAACUCUUUCUUUAGAGUUUU